CGGCUUGGGGAGGGGAGUGGGGGCUAGUGGGUCAGAGCAGGGGGGCUGGGAGCCAGGACUCCUGGGUUCUCUCCCUCGUUUGGUGAGGGGAGUGGGGGCCAGUGGGUCAGAGCAGGGGGGCUGGGAGCCAGGACUCCUGGUUCUCUGCCCGGCUCUGGGAGGAGUGGAGGCGCUGGUGGGUCAGAGCAGGGGGGCCGGGAGCCAGGACUCCUGGUCUCUCCUUGAGCCUGAAGCAGGGCUGAUGCUGAUACAACCGUCGGGACGACGCUCCGAAUCGAAUUGCUUGUGCCAGUGUGAACGCUGCAGGGCCCCGUCUGACCGCCCUUCCGCUCUCGCGGCGUAAGCUCGGGCGGGGUCACACACCGACCCGCCCAGCGAGGCCCUGGCCCGUCCUAGAGAACUGGGUACCCCGGGCUCAAUCCUGCCACCCGCCCCGGGGCGCUUCCCGAGCUGAGCCCCUGGCAAGAGAAACCGAAACCGAAACGAAAACGCGGAGCCGAGUCCCUGGGAAAUUGCCCUGCCGGAGCCUCAACAGUGAUACAGCUCCGGGAAAUGGGCGCCUGCUGCAGCGGCUGUAAAUGGGAUGAAGUCGGGGACCGUUCUCGGCGCAGGGCGGCUCCCAGCGCCGGUGACGAUGGUGUUGACUGGGACUGUCCUGGUGAUGGUGACUACGGCGGCGGCUGGGAUAGUCUCCAUGGCAGUCACCACGCUGGUGACCACGGCGGCGGCUGCGAUAGUCCCACUGGCGGUGACCACGGCGGCAGCUGCAAUAGUCCCACUGGCGGUGACCACGGCGGCGGCUGCAAUAGUCCCACUGGCGGUGACCACGGCGGUGGCUGGGGCGGCGACUGUGGAGGGGGGGGCGGCGACUGUGGAGGGGGUGACUGCUAAACUCCCCCAGAGCCGGCCUGGGGACUUGGUGGCGCAUGGGAGCAGCUUCCAGGCAGCCAGGACUCGGCCCUUCACCGCAGCACCAGCAGAACAGGGCUGGCUCCUCACGGACCCACUGCUCUCCCUGGCUCUGGGAGGGGAGUAGGGGCUGGUGGGUCAGAGCAGGGGGGGCUGGGAGCCGGGAUCCUGGGUUCUCUCCCCGGCUCUGGGAGGGGAGUGGGGGCUGGUGGGUUAGAGCAGGAGGGCUGGGAGCCAGGACUCCUGGGUUCUCUCCCUGGCUCUGGGAGGGGAGUGGGGGCUGGUGGGU